UGGGGAAUAUUGCACAAUGGGCGAAAGCCUGAUGCAGCAACGCCGCGUGAGUGAUGAAGGCCUUCGGGUUGUAAAGCUCUGUCUUUUGGGACGAUAAUGACAGUACCAAAGGAGGAAGCCACGGCUAACUACGUGCCAGCAGCCGCGGUAAUACGUAGGUGGCAAGCGUUGUCCGGAUUUACUGGGCGUAAAGGAUGCGUAGGCGGAUUUUUAAGUGAGAUGUGAAAACCCUAAGCUUAACUUGGGGACUGCAUUUCAUACUGGAAAUCUAGAGUGCGGGAGAGGAGAAUGGAAUUCCUAGUGUAGCGGUGAAAUGCGUAGAGAUUAGGAAGAACACCAGUGGCGAAGGCGAUUCUCUGGACCGUAACUGACGCUGAGGCAUGAAAGCGUGGGUAGCAAACAGGAUUAGAUACCCUGGUAGUCCACGCCGUAAACGAUGAGUACUAGGUGUAGGAGGUAUCGACCCCUUCUGUGCCGCAGUUAACACAAUAAGUACUCCGCCUGGGAAGUACGAUCGCAAGAUUAAAACUCAAAGGAAUUGACGGGGGUCAUAGCUGUUUUCCU
rnacentral:rRNA from 1 species